rnacentral:rRNA from 1 species
AUGGACUCCGCCGACGAGUUCUUUUUCCACAAUUUCCUUUGCGACUCCGAGGAUUCGUCGUCCGACGAGGAGGAGGAGGUAUUGGCUGUCGUGUUGGUCCAUCACAACCUCAACAGCAAGCGACCGUUGUUCUGUGGCUCCAUUCCGAGCCACCUGCCGGCGUUGAAUCGCAACCGAGAGAGCGGGCAUUUCCUUCUUUGGAAGAACUACUUUGAUACAACAAACCCGUUGUUCAAACAUCAAAAAUUCCGUCGUCGUUUCCAUAUGAGUAGACAUCUUUUCAACCGUAUUAGAGAGGGGAUGGUCGGCUAUGAUGACUAUUUUGAGUGCAAAGAGGAUGCCGUUGGCAAGAUUGGUUUCUCCUCUUAUCAGAAAUGCAUUGCCGUCAUCCGAAUGCUUGCAUACCGAGUGCCCGGUGAUCUCAUUGACGAGUACGUACAUAUGAGCGAGUCUACAUGCCUAGAGUCCCUGUAUAAUUCUGCAAGGCUGUUAUUGCUGUGUUUGGCCCUGAGUACUUGA